GGAGGUAUAGCUCAGUGGUAGAGCAGCCGCCUGCAGACACAUGCCUGCACCAGGAAAUGCGCUGGAAGCGGCAGGUCGUUGGUUCGAACCCGACUGCCUCCU
rnacentral:tRNA from 1 species